rnacentral:rRNA from 1 species
ACGACCGUACCGCAAACCGACACUGGUGCGCGUGAUGAGUAUUCUAAGGCGCUUGAGAGAACUCAGGAGAAGGAACUCGGCAAAUUGACACCGUAACUUCGGAAGAAGGUGUGCCUUUAGUAGGUGAACCUGUACAAGGGGAGCCCAAUGAGGUUGCAAAAAAUCGGUGGCUGCGACUGUUUAAUAAAAACACAGCACUCUGCAAACACGAAAGUGGACGUAUAGGGUGUGACGCCUGCCCGGUGCUGGAAGAUUAAAUGAUGGGGUGCAAGCUCUUGAUUGAAGUCCCAGUAAACGGCGGCCGUAACGAUAACGGUCCUAAGGUAGCGAAAUUCCUUGUCGGGUAAGUUCCGACCUGCACGAAUGGCGUAACGAUGGCCACACUGUCUCCUCCUGAGACUCAGCGAAGUUGAAAUGUUUGUGAUGAUGCAAUCUCCCCGCGGAAAGACGGAAAGACCCCAUGAACCUUUACUGUAGCUUUGUAUUGGACUUUGAACAGAUCUGUGUAGGAUAGGUGGGAGGCUUUGAAGUGUGGUCGCUAGAUCGCAUGGAGCCAACGUUGAAAUACCACCCUGGUGUGUUUGAGGUUCUAACCUAGGCCCGUAAUCCGGGUCGGGGACAGUGCAUGGUAGGCAGUUUGACUGGGGCGGUCUCCUCCCAAAGCGUAACGGAGGAGUUCGAAGGUACGCUAGGUACGGUCGGACAUCGUGCUAAUAGUGCAAUGGCAUAAGCGUGCUUAACUGCGAGACUGACAAGUCGAGCAGAUGCGAAAGCAGGACAUAGUGAUCCGGUGGUUCUGUAUGGAAGGGCCAUCGCUCAACGGAUAAAAGGUACUCUGGGGAUAACAGGCUGAUACCGCCCAAGAGUUCAUAUCGACGGCGGUGUUUGGCACCUCGAUGUCGGCUCAUCUCAUCCUGGGGCUGUAGCCGGUCCCAAGGGUAUGGCUGUUCGCCAUUUAAAGAGGUACGUGAGCUGGGUUUAAAACGUCGUGAGACAGUUUGGUCCCUAUCUUCCGUGGGCGCUGCAGAUUUGAGGAAGCCUGCUCCUAGUACGAGAGGACCGGAGUGGACACACCUCUGGUGUAUCGGUUGUCACGCCAGUGGCAUUGCCGAGUAGCUAUGUGUGGAAGAGAUAACCGCUGAAAGCAUCUAAGCGGGAAACUCGUUUCAAGAUGAGAUCUGCCGGGGCCUUGAGCCCCCUAAAGAGUCGUUCAAGACCAGGACGUUGAUAGGUCGGGUGUGGAAGCGCAGUAAUGCGUUAAGCUAACCGAUACUAAUUGCUCGUGCGGCUUGACCA